GUUUGGUGUGAUCCCAGCAUAACACAUUUUCCACGUGCUUCGAAUGCAGAAUACGUUAAAACCUUGAUAAUAUUUAUAUUUGAGAAUAAUGUUGAAAUGUGAAUGUGUAGGUGAGUUAUAAUAAAUGAGAAAAAUACAUGGUUUGGAGCACAGACUACAGGUAAAUCAGAAUCUGAAUGGUAGGACACGGUCAUUUGGGGGCGGGGCGUGUGGUCUGUUAAGUAGAUAUACUAAGGCGUGUAUCUUGAAUAACUUUUAGACUUUUCUUUCCAAAUGUAAAUAUGUAUCAGAGAUAAACUUCUCUCAUUCUGAACUGCUGUCUGAGCGAGGUAUUAAUCACAUAUUAACUAAUUCUCGAUGAUCACGUGACUUCUACCUGUGAAUCACCUGAACCCACAGUCACAACCACCUCAACCUCCAUCCCAUAAUCCCCCUGUGUGUUUCCAGCAUCAGCUCGCUGAACUCCAGAUACAGGUGAAAGCAUUAAUGGCUGUUUCCCAGCAGUCUCUGUCAUUCUUCAGUUGCAUAAGCUCUUCUUCUUUUCUCUUAUUAUAAUAUGAUGAGAGUUUGGAGAUGAAUGACGUGAAGUGUUGUGUAAUAAACAGCAGGGCUCACUGACGAGCACUAGAUGGCGCAGUAGGGUCUUUGACUCUUGUUUUUGAUGUAAUGCGCUGUUGGAGAAGGUUAAAAGGACAAGCAGACACAUGAGAAAUCUCUUUUCUCCAAGCUUUUGAAGAACACAACGCACUGAAAACUGAUGAAUCUCAUCUCUGAAUACAGCACAGACGUACACCAAACCUGAGUGAAACACAACUCAAAACUUUCUGCUUUCAUCAUAUCAUGACAGAAGAGGUGUCUGUGAGCGGUACUGACGGAGUCAGGAGAAUCUGAAUGGGGUUCAAGAUGUACGUCGGCCUCAGUCAUGGCCUUUCAUGAAAGUUUCCUGCACAUAAUCC